CGUGGAGACAGGUGGUGCAUGGUUGUCGUCAGCUCGUGUCGUGAGAUGUUGGGUUAAGUCCCGCAACGAGCGCAACCCUUGAUGUUAGUUGCCAGCAGGUCGUGCUGGGCACUCUAGAGGGACUGCCGGUGUUAAACCGGAGGAAGGUGGGGAUGACGUCAAGUCCUCAUGGCCCUUAUGCCCAGGGCUACACACGUGCUACAAUGGCCGGUACAACGGGUUGCCACACAGUAAUGUGGAGCUAGUCCCUUAAAACCGGCCCCAGUUCGGAUUGGAGGCUGCAACUCGCCUUCAUGAAGUCGGAAUCGCUAGUAAUCGUGGAUCAGCAUGCCACGGUGAAUACGUUCCCGGGCCUUGUACACACCGCCCGUCACACCACGAAAGUCAGCUGUACUCGAAGUCGCUGAG
rnacentral:rRNA from 1 species